CUAUGCAACGUUGACGCGUGAAGGCCCACAAUGCUGUUCCUAUUAUUGGCUGAAAAUAUAACUUGGUCGCCAACGUUCCUAUAAUACCUCAUUAUACCGCAGGGUUGUCAAAUUCUCGUUUCUGAUUGGCUAGAUUAUGUUGCAAAGAAGCGAAACGGGAAGGGACCAUUCGUUGGGGACCUACGUGAAUUUUCCUAAUAGAAACUCGUUUUCAAACUGUUUGGACUAACGAUUACACCCAUGGUUUCUUUUUCAAUGAGUGAAAAAAAGUGCAUUAAUUGUCAUUGUUGAACAUUUCUUUAUUGAUUGAUUACCACAUUUUGACAGGUUGGCUAUUUUAGAUGACAUCAAAGUCCUCGUGGAAACUGACCAUCUUGCUGCAUCCUCGGAGGGAGAAGUUAGGGGCGGAGGUUUUGUUGAAGGUGGCAGGCCCCAGCACAGAGAGCUGCAUGUAAGCAACAGGGCCUGAGCGAAAGGACGCAAUCACAUUCCUGGUUGCAGAAGCCUUUGCUCCAAUCAGACAGGGAGUAGGCAAGGGCAGAUUAAUAUGCAGACUGCCCCGACCUCUCAGUGGAGUAGCGACCUGAAACACCGAACAGACAGUAAGAACACAGUUUCAUAUUAUAUGUUGAGUCUGUAUGUGUGUGUAAUUUAUGAGAGACACUGUGUGAGUUUUGAGCAUGCUUGUGUGUGUGUGUGUUACUGACCAGGUCCAGGGGUUUGGAACAACUGGGGGUCAUUGGGGCGGCUGUAGAGGGAGUAUGAAGGGGCCCCGUUAUUUCCAAUCCUGGUGAUUUUGGAGGGAACCAGGUACGCUGGCCCUGGGGAGUGGUCUGAGCUGAGCCGUUGGUGACGCAUCCCAAAACUGAACGCCGGCCCGGGGAGCGGUCUGAGCUGAGCUGUUGGUGACGUAUCCCAAAACUGAACGCCGGCCCUGGGGAGCGGUCUGAGCUGAGCUGUUGGUGUCGCAUCCCAAAACUGAACGCCGGCCCUGGGGAGCGGUCUGAGCUGAGCUGUUGCUGACGCAUCCCAAAACUGAACGUCGGCCCUGGGGAGCGGUCUGAGCUGAGCUGUUGGUGACGCAUCCCAAAACUGAACGCCGGCCCUGGGGAGCGGUCUGAGCUGAGCUGUUGGUGACGCAUCCCAAAACUGAACGCCGGCCCUGGGGAGCGGUCUGAGCUGUUGGUGACGCAUCCCAAAACUGAACGCCGGCCCUGGGGAGCGGUCUGAGCUGAGCUGUUGGUGACGCAUCCCAAAACUGAACGCCGGCCCUGGGGAGCGGUCUGAGCUGAGCUGUUGGUGACGCAUCCCAAAACUGAACGCCGGCCCUGGGGAGCGGUCUGAGCUGAGCUGUUGGUGACGCAUCCCAAAACUGAACGCCGGCCCUGGGGAGCGGUCUGAGCUGAGCUGUUGGUGACGCAUCCCAAAACUGAACGCCGGC